rnacentral:rRNA from 1 species
AUGAGCCGAUGAAAGACGUGAUAAGCUGCGAUAAGCUACGGGGAGGAGCACAUAUCCAUUGAUCCGUAGAUUUCUGAAUGGGGAAACCCGGCUGAGCAUACCUCAGUCACCGUACACUGAAUCCAUAGGUGUACGGAGGGAACCCGGUGAACUGAAACAUCUAAGUAGCCGGAGGAAGAGAAAGAAAACUCGAUUUUCAAAGUAGCGGCGAGCGAAAUGGAAAGAGCCCAAACCGGAGUGCGUGCACUCCGGGGUUCGGACUGCAUUUAUGACUUCUGACUGUAGCGGAACGGUUCUGGAAAGACCGGCCAGAGAGGGUGAGAGCCCCGUAGGCGAAACGGAAAGAAGCAGAGCAGGAUCCAGAGUACCACGAGACACGAGAAACCUUGUGGGAAUGAGCGGGGACCACCCCGUAAGGCUAAAUACUCCUUAGUGACCGAUAGAGCAGAGUACUGUGAAGGAAAGGUGAAAAGGACCCCGGGAGGGGAGUGAAAGAGAACCUGAAACCCUGUGUUUACAAACUGUGGAAGUACCAUACGAGUACAACCGCGUACUUUUUGUAGAACGGUCCGGCGAGUUACGUUUACUGGCGAGGUUAAGCACUUAAGGUGCGGAGCCGAAGGGAUACCAAGUCUUAACAGGGCGUAAAGUCAGUGUACGUAGACCCGAAACCGGGUGAUCUACCCAUGUCCAGGCUGAAGUUGCCGUAAAAGGCAAUGGAGGGCCGAACGCACAUCCGUUGAAAAGGGUGGCGAUGAGGUGUGGGUAGGGGAGAAAUUCCAAUCGAACCCGGAGAUAGCUGGUUCUCCUCGAAAUAGCUUUAGGGCUAGCCUCGUGUUAACCUUGUGGAGGUAGAGCACUGAAUAUCCUAGGGGGCGUCAAAGUCUACCGAAGAUUAUCAAACUCCGAAUGCCAUAAAGGUGAUGCACGGGAGUCAGACUGCACGAGAUAAGUUGGGUGGUCAAAAGGGAAAGAGCCCAGACCUACAGCUAAGGUCCCAAAGUGCGUGUUAAGUGGAAAAGGAUGUGGGAUUUCGAAGACAACUAGGAUGUUGGCUCAGAAGCAGCCAUACAUUCAAAGAGUGCGUAAUAGCUCACUAGUCGAGAGGUCCUGCGCCGAAAAUGUCCGGGGCUGAAACACGACACCGAAGCUUAGGACUCCAUUUAGGAGUGGUAGAGGAGCAUUGUUAGCGCAGCGAAGCUGUACCGAUAAGGAGCAGUGGAGUGCUAAGAAGAGAGAAUGCCGGAAUGAGUAGCGAGAGGAAGGUGAGAAUCCUUCCGGCCGAAUAUCCAAGGUUUCCAGAGUAAAGCUGAUCUGCUCUGGGUAAGUCGGGGCCUAAGGCGAGGUCGAAAGACGUAGUCGAUGGAUAACAGGUGGAGAUUCCUGUACUAUGUGUACCCAGAACUGUGGGGACGCAUGUGGAGAGCAUGAGCCGGGAAAGAGAAAACCGGUACAAGCGGGGUAGGAGUAAGGACAGCAAAUCUUCCUUACAAUCCGAAGACGUGAUGUGGACCGAACCAAAGUAGGGAAGCAUGUGAGCCAUGUGCCAAGAAAAGCCGCUAUAGUGAUACACAUACCCGUACCGUANACCGACACAGGUGGAUGAGGAGAGAAUCCUAAGGCCGACGGAAGAAGCAUUGUUAAGGAACUCGGCAAAAUGACCCCGUAACUUCGGGAGAAGGGGUGCCCUGUGAAAGCAGGGCCGCAGAGAAUAGGCUCAAGCAACUGUUUAGCAAAAACACAGGUCUAUGCGAAACCGAAAGGUGAGGUAUAUGGGCUGACGCCUGCCCGGUGCUGGAAGGUUAAGAGGAGAAGUCAGGCAACGAAGCUUCGAAUUUAAGCCCCAGUAAACGGCGGCCGUAACUAUUACGGUCCUAAGGUAGCGAAAUUCCUUGUCGGGUAAGUUCCGACCCGCACGAAAGGCGUAAUGAUUUGAGCACUGUCUCGACGAUGCAUCCGGUGAAAUUGAAGUACCAGUGAAGAUGCUGGUUACCUGCGCCAGGACGGAAAGACCCCAUGGAGCUUUACUCCAGCUUGAUACUGGGAUUCGAUACUGUAUGUACAGGAUAGGUGGGAGACGUUGAGCAUAGAACGCCAGUUUUAUGUGAGUCGCUGUUGGGAUACCAGCCUUGCAGUAUUGGAUUUCUAA